GAGCGCGGGAAGCAAGCAAUCACCCUUCGGGGUGUGCGCUUGUGGAACGAGCGGCGGACGGGUGAGUAACACGUGGGCAACCUGCCUGUAAGACUGGGAUAACCCCGGGAAACCGGGGCUAAUACCGGAUAAUACUUUCUUUCACCUGAAGGAAAGUUGAAAGAUGGCUUCUUGCUAUCACUUACAGAUGGGCCCGCGGCGCAUUAGCUAGUUGGUAAGGUAAUGGCUUACCAAGGCGACGAUGCGUAGCCGACCUGAGAGGGUGAUCGGCCACACUGGGACUGAGACACGGCCCAGACUCCUACGGGAGGCAGCAGUAGGGAAUCUUCCGCAAUGGACGAAAGUCUGACGGAGCAACGCCGCGUGAACGAAGAAGGUUUUCGGAUCGUAAAGUUCUGUUGUUAGGGAAGAACAAGUGCCGUUCAAAUAGGGCGGCACCUUGACGGUACCUAUCGAGGAAGCCCCGGCUAACUACGUGCCAGCAGCCGCGGUAAUACGUAGGGGGCAAGCGUUGUCCGGAAUUAUUGGGCGUAAAGCGCGCGUAGGCGGUUUCUUAAGUCUGAUGUGAAAUCUUGCGGCUCAACCGCAAGCGGUCAUUGGAAACUGGGGAACUUGAGUGCAGAAGAGGAGAGUGGAAUUCCACGUGUAGCGGUGAAAUGCGUAGAUAUGUGGAGGAACACCAGUGGCGAAGGCGACUCUCUGGUCUGUAACUGACGCUGAGGUGCGAAAGCGUGGGGAGCGAACAGGAUUAGAUACCCUGGUAGUCCACGCCGUAAACGAUGAGUGCUAGGUGUUA
rnacentral:rRNA from 1 species